GGAUCCGUAGCUCAACUGGCGGAGCACCCGGCUCUUACCCGGGCGGAUGUGGGUUCGAUGCCCACCGGAUCCA
rnacentral:tRNA from 1 species